rnacentral:lncRNA from 1 species
CAUAUCUUCCAUAAUCAUUUACAAUGAUGUGACACCAUAAAUUAAAGGUGAUACAUUUAACGUGACACCAUAACUCAAAGAUGAUGCAUUUAAUAUGACACCUUAUAUAUCUCAUACAACUCUAUAUCAAAUUAAGCAUCACUAAAAAUAUAUGGUGUCUCUUCUAAAUGUGUCACCAUUUAUCUGCUUUGGUGUCGCUUCCAAAUACGUCACCAAUUGAUACCCUCUAUGGUGUCAGUGGAUAAGGUGACGCUAUGUUGUAGUGACACCCUAUGUUUAUAGUGACUUAUUAUAAAUGUCACCAUAUAUCUUUUUCCUUGUAGUG